UUUAUGGAGAGUUUGAUCCUGGCUCAGGAUGAACGCUGGCGGCGUGCCUAAUACAUGCAAGUCGAGCGAACGGACGAGAAGCUUGCUUCUCUGAUGUUAGCGGCGGACGGGUGAGUAACACGUGGAUAACCUACCUAUAAGACUGGGAUAACUUCGGGAAACCGGAGCUAAUACCGGAUAAUAUUUUGAACCGCAUGGUUCAAAAGUGAAAGACGGUCUUGCUGUCACUUAUAGAUGGAUCCGCGCUGCAUUAGCUAGUUGGUAAGGUAACGGCUUACCAAGGCAACGAUGCAUAGCCGACCUGAGAGGGUGAUCGGCCACACUGGAACUGAGAC
rnacentral:rRNA from 1 species